AAACUACUCCCUCCGUGCAAAAUUAUUUGUCGAAGAAAUGGAUGUAUCUAGACGUAUUUUAGUUUUAGAUACACCCAUUUUUCAUUCAUUUCCGUGACAAGAAAUUUCGAACAGAGGAAGUAUAAG
rfam:Triticum aestivum genome assembly, contig: Triticum_aestivum_CS42_TGACv1_scaffold_603767_7DL